GAUGAACGCUAGCGAUAGGCUUAACACAUGCAAGUCGAGGAGCAGCAUGGUCUUAGCUUGCUAAGACUGAUGGCGACCGGCGCACGGGUGCGUAACGCGUAUGCAACUUGCCUCACAGAGGGGGAUAACCCGUCGAAAGACGGACUAAUACCGCGUACACUUGGGAUAGGGCAUCCUGACCCAAGGAAAUGAAAUUCGCUGUGAGAUAGGCAUGCGUCCCAUUAGCUAGUUGGUGAGGUAACGGCUCACCAAGGCGACGAUGGGUAGGGGAACUGAGAGGUUGAACCCCCACACUGGUACGGAGACACGGACCAGACUCCUACGGGAGGCAGCAGUGAGGAAUAUUGGUCAAUGGGCGAGAGCCUGAACCAGCCAAGUCGCAUGAAGGAUGACUGUCUUAUGGAUUGUAAACUUCUUUUAUACGGGAAUAACAAGAGUCACGUGUGGCUCCCUGCAUGUACCGUAUGAAUAAGCAUCGGCUAACUCCGUG
rnacentral:rRNA from 1 species